UACAGAGGUGGCAAGCGUUGUUCGGAAUUACUGGGCGUAAAGGGCGCGUAGGCGGCCUUCUAAGUCAGACGCGAAAUCCCCCGGCUUAACCUGGGAACUGCGUCUGAUACUGGGAGGCUUGAGUAUGGGAGAGGGAUGUAGAAUUCCAGGUGUAGCGGUGAAAUGCGUAGAUAUCUGGAGGAAUACCGGUGGCGAAGGCGGCAUCCUGGACCAUAACUGACGCUGAGGCGCGAAAAGCUAGGGGAGCAAACGGG
rnacentral:rRNA from 1 species